CAAGUACACAGCACCUCCUCUGUAACCUUUAUGUCCAACAUAAUUACAGAGAUAAUAAGAAAAAACAAUAGAAAAGAGAAAAUCAAAAAAUGAAAAUGAGAACUACAAAAGAUAUACCUUCAUUGCAAAGGAGGACGAAGACACGCAACGAAAUCGCAAUUUAUAUAAUGUAGUGUAGUGAUGAGAUAAAGAGUCUUUGACUCAACUAUUUUAAAAUAAAUGGAGAGCUGAACAGAAUUGUGGUCAACAACAGAAGAAGCAAUUAUUGCACAGAAGAAAUCCUAUGCUGAACAAGUAUUAAAUUUAAACUCGGUCUCUAUGUUGGCAAAUUGACCAACAUUUUCCGAGAAAAUUGACUGCAGGAUCACCAAUUCAUUUUUACCAAUCUUUCCGUGCCAUGCACGUUCAAAUAUUUCAUCGCUGCAUACCAUGCAUAGGCCUUUUCGUUUCAGGCUAGUCUAUUUCCUUGGUGGAAACAUGCAUACAAGUGUUUCCAAAGCACACAGGCCAAAGAAUUUAUGAAAUACACGGGUCAGAUCUGGGUCAAUGAUAUUAUGAACGCCACGAACCAAAAUGUUGAUUAUGAUUAUUAUAUUGUCGUUCCAUCAGCAGCGAAGAAACUAACAAUUAACAAAUAGUUCGAUUUAAGUUUCACAAAGUUUUUUUGCCAAUUAUCAUAUAUCUGAAUUCACCAAAAGCUUCUGUAAUUGCCGAAGUAUAUGUGGCGAUGGUGCCCGAAUAGUUAGCGUCGAUGUUAGAACCUAUUUUUUUUGCAAAGGCCGUAAUCCUUUGCAUUAAAAUAAAAAAAUAUUUAUAUUUCAUUUAUAGCGUCUGAUUUCAAGGCCAUUACUCUUUUUUUUUGUAGCAGCCAAUUGCACCAAUAAUUAAAGAAAAAAGUCGUAUUGAACAAUCUAGAAUAUAAAAAUUAUGUACAACAAAUAAUCAAAUCAAUUGUACAUAUGUUCAAUUGAAUUCAAUUUAAAAAAAAUGAUGGUGGGCAAAAUUACCUUUUUCCACCUGUCCUUUCGCUUGUCGGACUUUAAGCUCCGGUUAGAAACUGAUGAAGAAGGAUUGAGGUGAGAAGCAUAAAUUUUUAAUUUAUUGGCUUUACAAACAUAAAUUUAUACUAAAAGUAUUAUUCUUCUAGCUGGUUCCAACAACAUACACCAAUAACAAAGGUCAUAUAGUUCAGACAAAUCAUUUCUUACAUUUCUUAUAUGUUGAGGAUUACUGGAGCUCAGGAGGACCAGUUCAGAACUCUUAUCGGAGUUCUUUUUUUCCUUUAUUAAAUUUUCAGAAAAAGACAUGUAACACAAUAGUAGAACUUGACAAAUUAACCGGCACUUAUUUUACUCAUAUAUAAUAUACUACCAGAUUUAAUUUUUAAUAGGAAUUUAAAUAGUACAUAUGUUUAAUUGUAACUGAACACACAAACAAUGGUAUCUUAACCAUAACUAAAAGUAUCUACAGAAAAUUUAUAAAUAAAUAUAAAAACAAUACAGCUACUCAUUUAAACACAUAAAGAGUUCUAGAAAAAAAA
rnacentral:lncRNA from 1 species